GUCAAGGUCACAUCACCAUUGGCCAAUAUGAAAUAAAACAAUAAGGCCAUGUGGUGGAAUUUGUCUCUAUUUUACUCAAUAUAAUACAAGUUUGCAGGGUAUCAGAAAAUUAUUAAAUUUCUUUAACAUGUAUUGUGAUCCACAUGUAAAUUUUGUAAUCAAGAAAUGAUAAAACAAAUUACCCUUUUGAUGAUGAUUGCAUGACAAGAACCCAUUUUUCUUUUGCAAAAUGUUAUGCCCCUUACAAUAGUUUUUUGGAGUAAAAUUUUUAUUCAUGGUUUUAUACACCUAUUUGACUAAGGUAUCUUUUUUCAUUUUAUAAUUCUAUUUAUAUCUCAUUGAUUUUUAUACAUUGUUUUACGAAAAAAUUGCCAUUUAUAAUUUUUCAUUUGGUAAUAAUAUGUUGUUAAGAGUAUUUGGUACUUUAUUUUGGAAGAAUUCAGUCUGACAAGAUACACAUCUGAGAUUUGAUUGUUUAAAAAUCAUAUCAAUAUAAUUUAUCGUAAAAUAAAUGCAUUAAUGCUU
rnacentral:sRNA from 1 species